GGCAAAACGUGCAAGAGAAGCCCGCAGGUCUGCCAAUGAAAGAUUGGUGGACUUCAUCACGAAGCUGAAGGGGUCGGACAAACGGCUACUGGAAAUAAUCACAGGUGAAGGCAGCUCCAAGUGACUGGUGAAUUUCAGGUCUGCGAAACCAGACAGGGUCUUCACCUACCUGGAAGAAGACGACCAAAUUGAUGAAGUUUUUAAGCACAUCAACUCGGUCCUCAAAGGAGCCACAAAAUGUGCACCUUAUUUCCCAACAACAGAGUUCCAGAGAGUCCGCUUCAUGUUGGAUGUGCUGAUGCCUGAGGCCAUUGUCUACGCUCUUGUGGCAGUGCACAACCUCUCUCUAGCUGAGGCAAAGAGAAGAUUUAACGCGGGACCAUUGUAUGAUGAAAGUGAAGUGCAAGAAUUUAAUGAUAUUAUCAAGAUGCAGAAGAGGCAGUAGAUCGAGGCCGAGCAUUAAUAUUUUCAUUUCUAUUUUAUUUUAUUUUUACUUUAUUUUGUUUUUGUUUUGAUGUUUUUGUUUAUUAUUAUGUAAAACCUCAAUCACAUUCUGUAAAAUGCUGAA